rnacentral:misc_RNA from 1 species
GAAAACCAUAGCAAUGAAUUGAUACCCACAAUAACCUUGAAAUCAUCCUCCAAGGAUCUUUUUAUGUACUUUUGAAAAUUAAACUUACUUCCAGGUGCUAAAUGGACUUUUGAGAGAUUCAUUGAUGACAGCGAUGAGAGCAAAUUUGUUGAGGUUGGAGAGUAUUCAUCGCUAAUAUGAGCGCCUUCUUACUCAAUUCGAC